UAUUUUGCAUUUUAAUAUAUCCAUUAAAAGUUAUUUUUUAUGCUCAUUUCAUUGUGACACUUUAUGGUAGUUUUUUUUCUUUUUUUUCUGUAUUCAUAUAAUUUCACCAUUUAGGGGUUACCCCCAUUUUUUUUCUACCCAUAUUCGUGACUCAUAUUUAUAUCUAGGCUCUCCUUUUUUCUUUUUUAGUUAUUUACUUUUUCAAUGUGCUUCCCAACGAGAAGGAGACAAUGCAUUCGUAUGUCAAUCCAUAUCAACUUUCGAUACCAUUGACUGUGCCUACCAUGGUGACCACAGGUAAGGGGGAAUCAGGGUUUGAUUCUGUACAGGGACCCUGACAAAUGGCUACCACAUGCAAUGAAGGCAGCAGGCGCGCAAAUGACCCACUCCCGACGCAGGAAGGUAGUGAUGACAAAUAACAAUACAGGACUCUUUAGAGGCCCUGUAAUUGUAAUGAGUCCACUUGAAAUCCUUUAACUCUGAUCAAUUGGAGUGAAGUCUGGUGCAGAGCCACUGACCUGUGCGUGCUGCAGCUGACACUCCACUAUCGCCUGCUGCUGCUCAAACAGUACCUCCAGC